rnacentral:pre_miRNA from 1 species
UUAACGCAACUUUGUAUGGAGUUGGAACGUUUGCCGCUAGGGGCGCUGUUUCAACUGCAUAGAAACUUGAGUUA